GAUGGUGAGGGCAAAGCCGAGAAGAGACGAUUCAAUGGGCUCUACAAGGCAGUGUUCUGGUUGGAAGGCUCAGCAGGCUUACUCCUACUGCCUCUGCUGCUUUGGCUGGAAAGAGACCAGACCAACCAUGAGGGGUGCAUGGCACAGGGAUGGCGGGAGCUGGUCCUCUCACCGUGAGGAAGAUAUUGUGCUGAGACACUUAAGGUGAGGUUGGAAAGGAACAUGAAGAAUUUAGUGGAUGGGAGAGGUGACGGAGUCAAACAGUGGUGUGGACAGCUGACAACAGAGUCUGGCGAAGGACUGUCCUCUCAUAGCUGGGCAGUGAAUGCAAAGGGCUUUUUGUACAAGAAGGUUCCAUCCACUCCCUUUGGCUCUUCAUGGUCUUUCCUGUGGACAUUCCAGAAGAGUGCAGGAAGGUGACCUUGGGGGAAUCUGUGGUUCAUGUUGGAACACUGGACAUACCACAUAAUUGGAAAGAUGCCCUCUGGAAGCAUAACAAGGUGCAGCUCAACUUUUCGAAUGCUGGUAACAAGAACAUUUCCAUUUCCAAUGACUGCUUGUGUCCUGAAACUUUCCACCCAAAUAAUAACAGACAUUCUAGCUGUGACAGUCAUGGGCAGGGUACCAGGGUCUCUGUGACAGCCAUGGUCAUCCAAGUAGUGACCUGUGGGAGUCGAGAAAGUAAUUGGUUUCAAGACGACUAAGUAGCCAGUCUUGGUUCAAACUUUUGGAACCUGCCCCUGAGUUUUAGCUAUAUUUAAGAAAAGUAUAAUUUGGUAGAAACCUUUCCUUGUGAUAGUGAACUCAAUCUCGUGUGCACAAUAAAGCUUAAGAUGUGACUAUAUUGAAGCUCUUUGAAAAGCAUCUAUGACGCCUCCUAUAAAGAUGGGAUCUAUAGAUCAACAAGCCACGAUACGGGACUUGGUGAGGAUCUGAUGUGGCCUUCCCACACAGAUAGCACGGAGGUCACCAGGCUAUUCAUUCCUUCUCCCAGCCUUCAGGGUGGACAUCAGGUAAUACAUCCCUUCCUUUGAAGGAGUAAGCCUGUGUGUUUCACAUUCCUGGUUCCCCUAGUGCCUAUCCAGUAAGCACAAGGACCUCCCCGCCUCCCACAACUGGACA